rnacentral:ncRNA from 1 species
GGGUUAGUUGAUCCUAAGAGAUGGGGAAUCCUUGUAUCAAGGGUGCACUCUACAUGAACAUCGAAAGAGAAUUGGGUUAAUAUUCCCAAACCGGGACAUGGUGGUGGACGACAAUGUUAGGAAAUCUGGAGAUGUCAUUGGGGGCCUAGGAAGACUUAUAUUUUCUUUUUAACAACUUUCCCACCCUAAAAUUGGUUCAAUCCGAGAUAGGGUCCAACACCUGGAAGAGCACCACACAUAUUGUGGUGUUUGAUGCCCCCUCUGCGGCCAUUGAAAAUAUGGAGAAGCGAGUACCAUCCAUGCCCGAUCAUACUCAUAUAUGCUUCCUU